rnacentral:rRNA from 1 species
AGUUGUAUCCUGGCUCAGAACGAACGCUGGCGGCAGGCCUAAUACAUGCAAGUCGAGCGCGCCCUUCGGGGUGAGCGGCGGACGGGUGAGUAACGCGUGGGAAUAUGCCCUUCUCUAAGGAAUAGCCUCUGGAAACGGAGAGUAAUACCUUAUACGCCCUUCGGGGGAAAGAUUUAUCGGAGAAGGAUUAGCCCGCGUUAGAUUAUGUAGUUGGUGGGGUAAUGGCCUACCAAGCCUACGAUCUAUAGCUGGUUUGAGAGGAUGAUCAGCCACACUGGGACUGAGACACGGCCCAGACUCCUACGGGAGGCAGCAGUAGGGAACCUUAGACAAUGGGGGCAACCCUGAUCUAGCCAUGCCGCGUGUGUGAUGAAGGCCCUAGGGUCGUAAAGCACUUUCGCCAGAGAUGAUAAUGACAGUAUCUGGUAAAGAAACCCCGGCUAACUCCGUGCCAGCAGCCGCGGUAAUACGGAGGGGGUUAGCGUUGUUCGGAAUUACUGGGCGUAAAGCGCACGUAGGCGGAUUAGUAAGUUAGAGGUGAAAUCCCAGGGCUCAACCCUGGAACUGCCUUUAAUACUGCUAGUCUUGAGUUCGAGAGAGGUAAGUGGAAUUCCGAGUGUAGAGGUGAAAUUCGUAGAUAUUCGGAGGAACACCAGUGGCGAAGGCGGCUUACUGGCUCGAUACUGACGCUGAGGUGCGAAAGUGUGGGGAGCAAACAGGAUUAGAUACCCUGGUAGUCCACACCGUAAACGAUGAAUGCCAGACGUCAGCAAGUAUACUUGUUGGUGUCACACCUAACGGAUUAANCAUUCCGCCUGGGG